GAUGAACGCUGGCGGCGUGCCUAAUACAUGCAAGUCGAGCGAACGGACGAGAAGCUUGCUUCUCUGAUGUUAGCGGCUGACGGGUGAUUAACACGUGGAUAACCUACCUAUAAGACUGGGAUAACUUCGGGAAACCGUAGCUAAUACCGUAUAAUAUUUUGAACCGCUUGGUUCAAAAGUUAAAGCCGGUCUUGCUUUCACUUUUAGAUGGUUCCGCGCUGCAUUAGCUAGUUGGUAAGGUAACGGCUUACCAAGGCAACGAUGCAUAGCCGACCUGAGAGGGUGAUCGGCCAGACUGGAACUGAGACACGGUCCAGACGCCUACGGGAGGCAGCAGUAGGGAAUCUGACGCAAUGGGCGAAAGCAUGACGGAGCAACGCCGAGUGAGUGAUGAAGGUCUUCGGAUCGUAAAACUCUGUUAUUAGGGAAGAACAGAUGUGUAAGUAAAUGUGCACAUCUUGACGGUAACUAAUCAGAAAGCAACGGCUAACUACGUG
rnacentral:rRNA from 1 species